GCCAGCAUGGUGUAGUGGUUUGAGUAUUUGAUUACCACUCUGCAGACCUGGGUUUGAUCCCCAAUUCUGCCA